GACGAACCGUACGAACGUUAUUCGGAAUUACUGGGCUUAAAGGGCGCGUAGGCGGCCCUGUUUGUCGCGUGUGAAAGCCCCGGGCUCAACCCAGAAGUGCACUCGAAACUGCGAGGCUAGAGUACUGGAGAGGUUGGUGGAAUUCUCGGUGUAGAGGUGAAAUUCGUAGAUAUCGAGAGGAACACCGGUGGCGAAGGCGGGUCUCUGGGCCGUUACUGACGCUGAGGAGCGAAAGCGUGGGGAGCGAACAGG
rnacentral:rRNA from 1 species